AACGAACGCUGGCGGCAUGCCUAACACAUGCAAGUCGAACGAGACCUUCGGGUCUAUUGGCGCACGGGUGCGUAACGCAUGGGAACCUUCCCUUAGGUGCGGAAUAACUCCCCGAAAGGGGUGCUAAUACCGGAUAAUGUCUUCGGACCAAAGAUUUAUCGCCUUUGGAUGGGCCCGCGUUGGAUUAGCUAGUUGGUAGGGUAAAAGCCUAGCAAGGCGACGAUCCAUAGCUGGUCUGAGAGGAUGAUCAGCCACACUGGGACUGAGACACGGCCCAGACUCCUACGGGAGGCAGCAGUGGGGAAUAUUGGACAAUGGGCGCAGGCCUGAUCCAGCAAUGCCGCGUGAGUGAUGAAGGCCUUAGGGUUGUAAAGCUCUUUUACCCGGGAUGAUAAUGACAGUACCGGGAGAAUAAGCUCCGGCUAACUACGUG
rnacentral:rRNA from 1 species